UAGGGAAUCUUCGGCAAUGGACGAAAGUCUGACCGAGCAACGCCGCGUGAGUGAAGAAGGUUUUCGGAUCGUAAAACUCUGUUGUUAGAGAAGAACAAGGACGUCAGUAACUGAACGUCCCCUGACGGUAUCUAACCAGAAAGCCACGGCUAACUACGUGCCAGCAGCCGCGGUAAUACGCAGGUGGCAAGCGUUGUCCGGAUUUAUUGGGCGUAAAGCGAGCGCAGGCGGUUUCUUAAGUCUGCUGUGAAAGCCCCCGGCUCAACCGGGGAGGGUCAUUGGAAACUGGGAGACUUGGGUGCAGAAGAGGAGAGUGGAAUUCCGUGUGUAGCGGUGAAAUGCGUUGAUAUAUGGAGGAACACCAGUGGCGGAGGCGACUCUCUGGUCUAUAACUGACGCUGUGGCACGAAAGCGUGGGGAGCUAACAGG
rnacentral:rRNA from 1 species